UUGCAUUCCUAUUUUUAUCUCACCAAUAUUCCAUGUUACGAAACUGUACUUCUUCGUUAUGUAUCCGGGCUUAUAUACCUUGUGAUAGUUUAAAGUUAUCGGUGAGAAAGUGAAAAUAACGAUCAGUAUAAUUAUGCGAAUGAAUUAUAACGUAUAUUGCAUCACUAAAUGUGGAAAGUUUGAUAACACUUGGAAUACAUUAGUUUUUAUGAAAAGGUAAAGUUAACUAACAGUCAUCAAUCCUAUAGUGAAUAUGAAAUUGAGAUAACGGCAUACAUGGACCACUAGAAACACCAGAACGGUGAUGAGGUGUCAUGGACGUAGACCACAUGUUGUCCGCCCGAUACUAUAAACUAUAUUCAGAACCAUUCACGUGAUUGUAAUGUUAUUUCAUAUGUGGGUUUGUUCUGAGUAGAAAAGGUCCCUAUUAAUUUUGAGGUCAUAGGAGCAAAGGUCACAACGGGUAUAGGAAGAUACUGUCCGCUCAAUAUUUUGAGAAGCCUUUGCUUGACAUUCAUCAAUUCUAAUACACUAGUUCAUCUUAAGAAUUAAAUUAUCCUUAUCCAUUUUGAGGUCACAUGGUCAAGGGUUAAUCCACUAUGGAUAUAGGAAAAUACUGUCCACUUAAUAUCUUGAGAACUCUUUGCUUGACAGACAUCAGACUUCGUACAAUGGUAUAUCGUAAGAAAAAUGUUGGUCAAAUGCCAAAGGUCAAACUGGUCAUAGUAAUAUAUUAUUGGCUCCUAUGUUUUAAGAAUCAUUUGCUUGAUUGAUACCAAACUUGGUACACUGGUAGGGAGUAGAUGUCCCCCAUUGAUUGUGAGGCAACAUGGUGAAAGACCAAGCCACUCUAGACAUAGGAAUAUAUUGUCCACUCAGUAUCUUGAAUUGUUUUGGUACUACCAUCAAUAAAAUGAAAGAUGUGUAUAACCCUUUUCAAUUUUGCAUUAAGUGGGACAAACAUGUUUCUGCAACAUUUUUUGUUUAAUUUCAAUUUUGUCAUGUGUAAUAUUAUAUAGAUAGUACAUCUAAGUUAGAGCAACGUUGGAAAUUGUCAACCCGCAAAAACCAUUGUCGACCGAAGUGAAGCCGGGGUUGACAGUGGUUUUUCGACGGGUAACAUUUUCCAAUUUCACCCUUGCUCGCAUGCAGUAUCUAUUACAUUAUACGGAAUAUUAGUUGGCAAUCUUUACGAAGUGUCAUAUCUAACAGAGUUUAUCAGCAUACACCCACGUCUGUGUCUGUACACGACUAUUUCGGUAGCGCACUUCAUGCCCGCAGCAGCGCCGUGGUGGAUGUAGGCUGACAGACUCUACUCGCCGUAUUUGGGGGUUUUAUGGGAGCUCUUAACCAAACUACAAUCCUUACUAAAGAAGCGAAAGUUGUCAAUUUCUCCACGAAUUGUCAGGAUACCAACAUUCAACUUAUUGUGACAAGACUCUCCAACGAAACAACAUCUGUAAACAACACCUAUAACCACACUCAGUAUCAGACCACCUAUAAAACUACCCAAUAUGAGAGAGAAAGUAGUGGGAAAACCUAUGUGGUUAUCAUACUCCUAGCACUAUACCUCAUCGUACCUAUGGUCCUGGUUUGGUGGUUUUACAGAAGACAGCAGAAAAUGGAGAAGAACGUGGAACAGAGUCACCAAUUAGGUUCAUGUACUACUUUUGCGGCUGUUGAGUUCUCAUCAACAAAGAACAAGAUGGAUUGGAAUGCAUUACAGUAUGCCGCAAAGAAUGGAAACAAAAACAUUUUGCAAUUCCUAGUUGAAGGAAAGUUUGUGUUUGCUAUCGAACGGAGGAUUUGAAAUAUUCGUUUCAUACAGCAUGCGAAAAUGGAAAUAUAGAAGCUUGCAAAUACAUAGCAGACAAUAGUAAAGAAAUCCCCUUUGAGCAUUUUUGUUUUAAAUUGUAGUGCAAAUAAAUUGACACUGUCCCCUCCACAAUUACUUUUAACAGUAGUUGUAGAUGAAAAGAAUAUAAGCUUGGAAGUUGUUAAUAAAAAUAUUUCGCCAACCCUAUCCCCAAGUGAACAUAUCAAUGUAUAACCUCAAAAUCAAGAUUAGCUUCAUACCUUCAUAUUGCUACAGGAAGUUAGGUAUAUGAAUAGCUUUUAAUUGCAGUGUUUGCAAAAAAAUUAUUGACAGUUUUUUUUAGCAGUGCUUCAUUUAGUAUCUGGACUACCCUGUUUUUGAGUUUCCACUCCAAAUCCUUAAAUUUUCCCAAUUUCUUAUUAUAUGGUUAUGUUUAAGCAUGUUAUUAUUAUUAAUUUUAUAUUCUGCAUAUAUUCUAAAGAUUAUUGUAAAAGAUAUAUGCAAAAAUUCUAUCAAAUUAUUUUUUUAAUUGAAAAUCGGAAUGAUCUUGAAAAAUUCACAAAUUUCGAUAAGGGGGAUAAUUCAAAGCUUAUUAUCUCCCUUGUAUACUUAGAAAGUGGCCAUAAAAUUUAUAAACAUUGUAAAGGACAUUCUGAUGAUGCUUCAUUUAAAAAAGAAAAAUAUUUAUUGACUAGUUAUUUUUGGCCACAUCGUCCCGCAUGUCCUUAAGUUCUAACAGCUCAACAUCAAAAGACAGCCUGUGGCGUGUACAAAGACCAAUGAAGAUGGAACCAAAGCCCCUUAAGGAGUGGAAUUUUGGCCUCUGCUUAUUUAAAUGAGGGAAGCUUUGACCAAACUGAGUGAGGAAUGGGAGGUGGAGUUCAGGAAGAGGAAAAGAAUCAACGUUGAUAUAUGUCAUCUUGAUCAAAGGUGUUUUCACCUGGCCAACUCCAUGUAGCAGUUAAAGCUGCUAAAAGAGUUGUUUCCCAAAACUGGCAUGACUCAGAUGUGGAAUAUCCUCGACGAGGCUCCUAACAGGUGAGAAUCCUGUAGAAAAAAGAUGAUAGCUCUGGUCUUAUCUGAAGAGAAAGUCUGUCUACAAUGUGAACAGGACAGAUUUUGAUGAACAAAGCUGCUUGAUUUCUAAACAAAAUGCAAGGCGAAGACAACGAACAGCGAUCAAUCCAACAACUCACACAAGCAAUACAAAACAGACAGCUGGGCAAACACGGACCCCUGGACACACCAGAGGUGGAAUCAGGCGCCCAGGAGGAGCAAGCAUCCCCCGCCGACCGGCCACACCCGCCGCGAGACCCACAUCCCGAUCAGGCAAACGGAGCCAUCCGCAGUCAAAACCAGUGCACCAAGAACGGCUCAACAAUCGGCACGAAACACGCCAGACAGCACCUGACCCAACGCGAGGUCGUACUGACGAACUAGAUCGCCACAACGACUACAGAAUUCGCGAAACACCGACCUCAAUCGAAACCGUUGAAGUCCCUGUACCAUCAACUUGUUUGUCAGUAGCUUACCUCGUUUUAAAAACUGACUAUACCCAGAACAAGCUCUUGCAUAUCGAAUUAGUUGAGAUAUAUAAGCACCAUAUGCAGGUGAUAAUGGAAUAUUGCUACAUAAAUGUGGGAAGUUGACGAUGGAGAAGCUGAAAUCAUCCCGUUUGUCAUACAGUUGAGUUGUCAGUUUGCCGUUAAUGUCUACUUUCAAUAAAAUAUCUAAGUAUGAAGCAGAAGUUAAUCGACUAAAACGAUAAACAAAUUCACCUGGUUUUGGGAUACUUUAUGCAUGUGUAUCAUUAAAAUUGUAGAUAAAGUAUGUGUGUUGCAUAAUGAAAAAUCAAAUAAUACUACUUAAGUUGAAUUUUUUCAGUUUAAAAUUCUAAAUUAAUCACUUACUUGAAUUACUGUCUUAUGAUAAAAAAAAAUUAUUAUUAUUAUACGCCGGUUUCGAGAUACACCCGAGUUAUUUCCCUUUGGAGAACUCUCGUAUAUAGUGAGGCGCGAAACAAUUUGUUUACACGCGGGAGUGGGACUAAUAUUCAUCACUGCGUAAGUGAAUGUACUCAGUAAGUUUCUCAUACACUCUUAGAUCACCCGAAUUCGACUGAUACACAAACUAAGUAAGUUAUAAGUAUUUAGGAAGUAAUUAAAUACAUAGAAUUCUUAUCAUAUCACGUUAUUUCAUUGGUCAUAAGUACCAUAUCUAAGACAUUACUUGCAAAUAUGACAUUGUUUUUAUGUUUCCACUUAAAUAAAACAUUUUUUUCGAUAGUAUAUUGUAUUUCCCACAUUUGCAUAUUAAAAGAGAAGCCGCUUUUAAUACAUUUUGUCAUCUUCCUCGCUGACUGUAGGUCCACUCUGUCCCACUUCGUCAUUCAAAGUUUCACUAAAUGCACCUCCUACACAGAAGAGUUCGUAUCUCAAAACUGGCGUAUUAGACGCUAAUUUUAUCAUGAUAUUUUAUAAAUACGUGCAUAUAUAUAGUUAUAUACAUGUAUUAAGCAUUGAAUUAAAUCUUUUUUAUAAAU